AUUGAACGCUGGCGGCAUGCUUUACACAUGCAAGUCGAACGGUAACAGGCCGCAAGGUGCUGACGAGUGGCGAACGGGUGAGUAAUGCAUCGGAACGUGCCCAGUCGUGGGGGAUAACUACUCGAAAGAGUAGCUAAUACCGCAUACGAUCUAUGGAUGAAAGCGGGGGACCGUAAGGCCUCGCGCGAUUGGAGCGGCCGAUGUCAGAUUAGGUAGUUGGUGGGGUAAAGGCUCACCAAGCCAACGAUCUGUAGCUGGUCUGAGAGGACAACCAGCCACACUGGGACUGAGACACGGCCCAGACUCCUACGGGAGGCAGCAGUGGGGAAUUUUGGACAAUGGGCGCAAGCCUGAUCCAGCAAUGCCGCGUGCAGGAAGGAGGCCUUCGGGUUGUAAACUGCUUUUGUACGGAACGAAACGGCUCUGGUUAAUACCCGGGGCUAAUGACGGUACCGUAAGAAUAAGCACCGGCUAACUACGUG
rnacentral:rRNA from 1 species